rnacentral:rRNA from 1 species
UUCGGACUGGAGUCUGCAACCCGACUCCACGAAGUUGGAUUCGCUAGUAAUCGCGCAUCAGCCAUGGCGCGGUGAAUACGUUCCCGGGCCUUGUACACACCGCCCGUCAAGCCAUGGGAGCCGGGGGCGCCUGAAGUCCGGGACCGCGAGGACCGGCCUAGGGCGAAACUGGUGACUGGGGCUAAGUCGUAACAAGGUAGC